rnacentral:snRNA from 1 species
AUCAUAACACCUAGCAGUAUUGUAGCCUAUGAGGUUUAUCCGAGGUGCGAUUAUUGCUCGUUGAAAAUGUACCCAAUUAUAUUCAGUGAUAAUUUUAAUAUUUGACAUUUACUUCUCCAGACAACUUCACGAGCCGACAGCGGA